rnacentral:snoRNA from 1 species
GAUUGGCAGGGAUGAUGAAUCAGUUAGAUUUGCGAAGUCACCUUAUGAGCUUAACUUUUGAGGCAUAAAUUUUGUCUUGACCUGCCUAUC